AAGGAGGGUUUGAUCCUGGCUCAGAACGAACGCUGGCGGCGUGCUUAAGACAUGCAAGUCGAACGGUAAGGCCCCCUUCGGGGGGUACACGAGUGGCGCACGGGUGAGUAACGCGUGGGUAAUCUACCCUCGGGUCUGGGACAACUCCGGGAAACUGGAGCUAAUACCGGAUAAGACCACGGGGUCUUCGGACUCUGCGGAAAAAGGCGGCCUCUUCUUGAAAGCCUCCGCCCGUCGAUGAGCCCGCGUACCAUUAGCUUGUUGGUGGGGUAACGGCUCACCAAGGCUACGAUGGUUAGCUGGUCUGAGAGGAUGAUCAGCCACACUGGAACUGAGACACGGUCCAGACUCCUACGGGAGGCAGCAGUCGGGAAUCUUGGGCAAUGGGCGAAAGCCUGACCCAGCAACGCCGCGUGAGGGAUGAAGGCCUUCGGGUCGUAAACCUCUGUCGGGAGGGAAGAACGGCAUCCACUCGAAUAGCGUGGGUGUUUGACGGUACCUCCAAAGGAAGCGCCGGCUAACUCCGUGCCAGCAGCCGCGGUAAUACGGAGGGCGCAAGCGUUGUUCGGAAUCAUUGGGCGUAAAGCGCGUGUAGGUGGCUUGGAAAGUUGGGUGUGAAAGCCCGGGGCCCAACCCCGGAAAUGCACUCAAAACUUCCUCGCUCGAGUCCCGGAGAGGAAGGCGGAAUUCCCGGUGUAG
rnacentral:rRNA from 1 species